UGUAUUGCUUACGCCACUCUAACCGGCAGUAUAAUGUAAAAAAAUACAAUGAUAGCGGUAACUUGCCCAUAAAGUAUUAGUACUAGCUACGAUUGAAUAAACCAAACAAAAGUAUGCACUUUUAGUAUUCCACGCAGUGCAGUGUAAUGUUUCAGAAAGGAAAGAUGUGUUAACAAUAAGAUUUAAUAAAUUAUAUAAAUUUUUAUAGCGUCUAUACAAUACUGUAAUACUUAUACUUAUUCGUAAUUUUUUAAUUUUCAAAGUUAGCAAUAAAGAUGCAAUAUUGGCGAUAAAUAUAUACAUUUUUUAAAUAAAAUUUAUAACCACAAUUUCUUACUUCCUAUUUAUAUGUAAUAAUAAAAUUAUAUUAAGAAAUUGAAUUUUAGACACAAGUCAGAAAUGACUCACACAUGGUCUCGUCCAUAGUAUGCUAUUCGAGGGUUAAUAUUUGACACUGGGGCACUGUUUCGCAGUUUAUCCACCUCGAACAUGAAGUUCCAUUAAUGUCGUGUCUAAACCAUGUACACGUGCUUCGUUAGAAGCCAUGUACAAGCAGUGCUUUGCUCACCGACCGUGUACGAAAAGAAAAAUAACCGGAAAGACGAAGAUAAAAACAGUCCAGAAAAAUGUUUCAUUCCUAACGAAACAUUGAAGCCGGGGAUCGACCCUUUCCUAUCGUCGUGGACGCCACACCGCCACAAAACCGCAAAUGACUAAACUCAAAGAAGAAAAAAAAAAGAAGUGCACUCACCGUUCCUGGAUACAUCCAACUCCACGAGAUUUUCGAAGUUCUGGAUAUCUGGUGGUAAGCGGUGAAUUUCAUUGUCACUCAAGCCUAGCUUUCGUAGCUU